rnacentral:rRNA from 1 species
GCAAGUCGAGGGACAGGAUUAAGGAAAGCUUGCUUUUUAUAGAUGGAGACGGGCGCACGGGUGAGUAACGCGUAUGCAACCUACCUUACAUUAGGGGAUAGCCCAGAGAAAUGUGGAUUAAUACCGCAUAAUAUAUUUGAAUAGCAUGGUAUAAAUAUUAAAACUCCGGUGAUGUAAGAUGGGCAUGCGGAGGAUUAGUUAGUUGGUAAGGUAACGGCUUACCAAGACAAUGAUGAGUAGGGGGUCUGAGAGGAUGGUC